GAUGAACGCUGGCGGCGUGCCUAACACAUGCAAGUCGAACGGAAAGGCCCUGCUUUUGUGCGGUGCUCGAGUGGCGAACGGGUGAGUAACACGUGAGUAACCUGCCCUUGUCUUUGGGAUAACUUCACGAAACUGGGGCUAAUAUCGGAUAGGAGCUCCUGCAGCAUGGUGGGGGUUGGAAAGUUUCGGCGGUUGGGGAUGGACGAGCGGCUUAUCAGCUUGUUGGUGGGGUAGUGGCUUACCCAGGAUUUGACGGGUAGCCGGCCUGGGAGGGGGACCGGGGACAAGACGCCUACGGUACGGAGCAGUCGGCAACGGGAGGCAGCGGGGGGAAAUAUGACACAACGAGCCGGAGUCGGUUACGACGGCGCCGCGUUCGGAAAGACGGCUUGCUGGGUAAGAACCGCUGUCGCCUGAGACGAAGCGGUAGUGACGGUAACGAAUAAAGAAGCACCGGCUAACUACGUG
rnacentral:rRNA from 1 species